rnacentral:rRNA from 1 species
UACGUAGGUGGCAAGCGUUGUCCGGAAUUAUUGGGCGUAAAGCGCGCGCAGGCGGUCUUUUAAGUCUGAUGUGAAAGCCCACGGCUCAACCGUGGAGGGGCAUUGGAAACUGGGGGACUUGAGUACAGAAGAGAAGAGUGGAAUUCCACGUGUAGCGGUGAAAUGCGUAGAGAUGUGGAGGACCACCAGUGGCGAAGGCGACUUGCUGGAAUGUAACUGACGGUGAGGCACGAAAGCGGGGGGAGCAAACAGG